GGCUGGACAGCUCUGGGGGGCUGCAUCUUCAUGUUAAUGGGGUGGACCAGGGGGUAGCUGUGCCAGAUGUGCCCCAGCCCUGCCAUGCGCUUGUGGACCUCUAUGGGCAGUGUGAGCAGGUGACAAUCGUGAACCCUGAGCCAGGGGCUGCCAGUGGGAAAAGUGCUGGAACCCAAGGGGACAUGGAGAAAGCAGACAUGGUGGACGGUAUCAAAGAGAGUGUGUGCUGGGGUCCACCACCUGCCGCUAGUCCUCUAAAGAGCUGCGAGUACCAUGCCCUUUGCUCUCGCUUCCAAGAACUCCUGCUGCUUCCCGGUGAGUCCCACAGUCCGCCAGAACUGACUUCAUUCCCAGGGCCAGGCCUAGAGCCUUGGAGAGCAGCUGGAGGGUGCCACUGUGGUUGAGGUGGGAGCCACAGCACCAAGCCUGCUACUCACUGUCCCGCAGAAGAUUAUUUCAUGCCUCCGCCAAAGCGAAGCCUGUGCUACUGUGAGUCUUGCCGGAAGCUGCGAGGAGACGAGGCCCACAGGCGCAGAGGGGAGCCUCCCCGGGAAUAUGCACUGCCCUUUGGCUGGUGCAGGUUCAACCUCAGAGUGAAUCCCCGCCUGGAGGCUGGGACACUAACCAAGAAGUGGCACAUGGCAUAUCACGGGAGCAAUGUUGCCGCUGUACGGAGAGUGCUGGACCGAGGGGAGCUGGGAGCAGGUACUGCCUCCAUCCUGAGCUGCCGUCCUUUGAAGGGAGAACCUGGGGUAGGGUUCGAGGAGCCUGGCGAGAACUGUGCACCUCC
rnacentral:lncRNA from 1 species